UCUUUUAAUAUAAAAUACUAUGGAUUUUUCCAUUGAAUACCUAAGAUCCAACGUUGAAGCUGUGGACUGACACAGAAUGUUAUUUGGUUGGCCCACUCAAAGCAGCCUUGUCACCAUGGUACGUGCCAUUAGAUUAUUUCGUUUUAUUCGACAUUUAGCUAUCAGAUAAACUGAUAAAUAUAAAAAGAGAAAAAAGAAAAAAUACGCCCCCCCCCCCAAAAAAAAAAAGCAUGGCAAACAUGUAAC
rnacentral:lncRNA from 1 species